UCCCUGGUGUCUUAGUGGUAAAGACUCUGCCUGCAAAGCAGAGGACCUGGGUUCCAUUCCUGGAUUGGGAA
rnacentral:tRNA from 1 species